ensembl:lncRNA
UUUUAAUUACACAGAGUCCUUUUUUGAGUUGGCGGGUUGUGAUGCGCCACGGAGCUGCUGGCCUAGCUGAUAAUUCCUCAACAUCAAUAAGAACCCCGUCCGCUGGCCUUUGGCUGUCCUGAUCCUCGGCCUUCACAUCAAUCCACACUGUUUCUGCUCUACUUUCUGAAGUAUACUUUUAUCUGCUGCAGUUUAUACUGCUCACGUGCCACCUGUGUUGACGCCUUUCAACAAAAGAGACGUGCAGUAUUUAGCAUCUUACUCUGGAAGAAGACUGCGCCAUGUUUUCUCUUCAGCUGUCUCAGAGUUUGCGUCGGUUUGGCUCUGAAGCCAAAAUGUUACGCGAAGGCCAAGCUGAGCUUCCACGCUUCAUCCGGGU